AUACUUACCUUCUUGACAUCGAGCUGCUCAUGAAUAGCUUUGAUGGUUCGACGAGACCUCCAUUGCACAACGGGGUGUCAAGACGAAUUGACUUUCCUUCGGGGACGUCAUCGGGGGAAUUUUUGAUUGCUAUCUCCCUCUGGAGAAC
rnacentral:snRNA from 14 species